AGAGUUUGAUCAUGGCUCAGAUUGAACGCUGGCGGCAGGCCUAACACAUGCAAGUCGAGCGGAAACGAGUUAUCUAAACCUUCGGGGAACGAUAACGGCGUCGAGCGGCGAACGGGUGAGUAAUGCCUAGGAAAUUGCCCUGAUGUGGGGGAUAACCAUUGGAAACGAUGGCUAAUACCGCAUAAUACCUUCGGGUCAAAGAGGGGGACCUUCGGGCCUCUCGCGUCAGGAUUUGCCUAGGUGGGAUUAGCUAGUUGGUGAGGUAAUGGCUCACCAAGGCGACAAUCCCUAGCUGGUCUGAGAGGAUGAUCAGCCACACUGGAACUGAGACACGGUCCAGACUCCUACGGGAGGCAGCAGUGGGGAAUAUUGCACAAUGGGCGCAAGCCUGAUGCAGCCAUGCCGCGUGUGUGAAGAAGGCCUUCGGGUUGUAAAGCACUUUCAGUCGUGAGGAAGGUAGUGUAGCUAAUAGCUGCAUUAUUUGACGUUAGCGACAGAAGAAGCACCGGCUAACUCCGUGCCAGCAGCCGCGGUAAU
rnacentral:rRNA from 1 species